UGUUGGCUUAGAAGCAGCCAUCAUUUAAAGAAAGCGUAAUAGCUCACUGGUCGAGUCGGCCCGCGCGGAAGAUUUAACGGGGCUCAAGCUGUAUACCGAAGCUGCGGAUGCGUAGGGUCUUCGGAUCCUAUGCGUGGUAGAGGAGCGUUCCGUAUGCCUGCGAAGGUGACCUGUAAGGGUUGCUGGAGGUAUCGGAAGUGCGAAUGCUGACAUGAGUAGCGUUAAUGCGGGUGAAAAACCCGCACGCCGAAAGCCCAAGGUUUCCUGCGCAACGUUAAUCGGCGCAGGGUGAGUCGGCCCCUAAGGCGAGGACGAAAGUCGUAGUCGAUGGGAAGCAGGUUAAUAUUCCUGCACCGAUCAUGACUGCUAUGGGGAGACGGAGAAGGCUAGGUCAUCCGGGUGUUGGUUGUCCCGGUUUAAGCGUGUAGGUGUGCUGCAUAGGAAAAUCCGUGCGGCUUAACCGAGACGUGAUGACGAGGUCUCUUAUGAGACUGAAGUGAUUGAUGCCCUGCUUCCAAGAAAAUCCUCUAUGCUUCAGGUCAUGAUGACCGUACCGUAAACCGACACUGGUGGGCGAGAUGAAAAUUCUUAGGCGCUUGAGAGAACUCGGGUUAAGGAACUCGGCAAAUUGGCACCGUAACUUCGGAAGAAGGUGCGCCUUUGUUAGGUGAAGGACCUCGCGUCUGGAGCCGAGAAAGGUCGCAGAGAAUCGGUAGCUGCAACUGUUUAUCAAAAACACAGCACUCUGCAAACACGAAAGUGGACGUAUAGGGUGUGACGCCUGCCCGGUGCCGGAAGGUUAAUUGAUGGGGUUAGUCGCAAGACGAAGCCCUUGAUCGAAGCCCCGGUGAACGGCGGCCGUAACUAUAACGGUCCUAAGGUAGCGAAAUUCCUUGUCGGGUAAGUUCCGACCUGCACGAAUGGCGUAAUGAUGGCUACACUGUCUCGACCCGAGACUCAGCGAAGUUGAAAUCGCUGUGAAGAUGCAGCGUUCCCGCCGCAAGACGGAAAGACCCCGUGAACCUUUACUAUACCUUCACACUGAACUUUGAAGUUGUCUGUGUAGGAUAGCUGGGAGACUUUGAAGCGUUGGCGCCAGCCAGCGUGGAGUCGUCCUUGAAAUACCAGCCUGACAGCUUUGAGGUUCUAACCUUGACCCGUUAUCCGGGCCGGGAACAGUGUGUGGCGGGUAGUUUGACUGGGGCGGUCUCCUCCCAAAGAGUAACGGAGGAGCGCGAAGGUACCCUCAGCACGGUCGGAAAUCGUGCGUCGAGUGUAAUGGCAGAAGGGUGCUUGACUGCGAGACAGACAAGUCGAGCAGGGUCGAAAGACGGUCAUAGUGAUCCGGUGGUUCUGUAUGGAAGGGCCAUCGCUCAACGGAUAAAAGGUACUCCGGGGAUAACAGGCUGAUACCGCCCAAGAGUUCAUAUCGACGGCGGUGUUUGGCACCUCGAUGUCGGCUCAUCACAUCCUGGGGCUGUAGCCGGUCCCAAGGGUAUGGCUGUUCGCCAUUUAAAGUGGUACGCGAGCUGGGUUCAGAACGUCGUGAGACAGUUCGGUCCCUAUCUGCGGUGGGCGUUGGAGAUUUGAGAGGAUCUGUCCUUAGUACGAGAGGACCGGGAUGGACGAACCUCUGGUGUUCCGGUUGUCACGCCAGUGGCACUGCCGGGUAGCCAAGUUCGGACGGGAUAAACGCUGAAAGCAUCUAAGCGUGAAACCCACCUCGAGAUGAGAUCUCCCCGGGAGUUCGACUCCCCUGAAGGGCCGUGGUAGACCACCACGUUGAUAGGCUCCAUGUGUAAGCGCGGUAACGCGUUGAGCUAAGGAGUACUAAUUGCCCGUGUGGCUUGACCAU
rnacentral:rRNA from 1 species